GUUUCAUUAUUUCUAUUGUUUGUACUUGUAUAGUAAUAUGUGGUUGUGACAUUGCUUUUUUUUUUUUUUCCUGUUUCUUUUGUAUUACUCUAUUUUACAGCAAGCUAAUUUUAAAGGUGUCAAGUGUAUUUUGAUGUAUUUUGAUUUUGGGGAAGAAUUCAGAUGACAAAAGCAUCAAGAAGUCGAUCGUCGGUCUGGAAAGUUAGUGAUAAACAUCCAGGUUGGAUAUGCUUCAGCUGAGACUUUUUAGUUCAAUAGAGAAUCAUACAACAUUUUAGUUGGAGGUAUAUCUUUUCUGUUAAAUUUUUCAUGUAGGAUUUUGAUAUUUUUUUUCGAUGCAGAUGGUCGUAUCAGGUACGAUUUUCUCAAAUAAUUCUCGGAUUUUUGUUUUUCGCUCAUUAACUUGUUUAAUUUGUUACUGAAUUCUACCUUCCAAUUCUACCAAUAAUAUUCAACCAUGUAUUUAUUUGGAUUAAAUUUGCUGAGAUAAAAUUUCUAUGGCUGGGCUGGGAUGCAGGGGGAGGAAUUCAUUAGGUUGUUAUUAGCAAAUACCACUAUUUGUUGGGCUAGGAUGCAUAUUGAUGCUUAAAAACUCUUUCUUCACUCAACAAAUUUUAUCAAUGCUUUUAACUCAUUCCUCCAUUUGUUCAUGGAAUUAUGUAAUGAUGAUUUGAUGUAAAUCCUUACUAAUUAAGAAUCUUGGCUACAAUCUUCUUGGCUUGACAUUCAGCUAAGUUAAAGUUAAUUGUGAAAUCUUCAUUUCUUUCA